GUUGAAUGGAAUCAAGAAACAAACAAGAGAGACAACAAAUGAUUCAACUGUCUCCUUUUCAUUGAUGAUGAUGUCUUAUAUAGGAUUACAAAGGGUGCCUCCAAGGGGUGUGUGUACAAAGAGACAUGAACAACCGACAUGCCAAAAGUAACUGCCUUGGUAAUUAAGAAAAGCAAGGAUUAACAUAAUUAAUUAAUCAUAAUACUCCCCCUAAUCCAUGCUUGUUUGUGUAAGCAUCAUCAUCUUGAAAAAGCUCCUGUAAAAACCCUGUGGGAAAAAUAUAAGGAGAUAGGUGUUUGAUAUGUUGCUAAAACUCCUUCAAACCCAAUGGGAAAAAUAAGGAGAAAAAUGAUGCAACAUAUAAUGGUUAUUGCCUCUUUUAACUCAAUACGAGAAAACUCAUAGAAUUAAGUGGUCAAUAAAUAUAUCGUAUAUACUUUCCUAAAAACCCCGAUGGGGAAAACUGAAAGUAUGACAUAUGAUCUCAUGUUGAUAUUACCUCAUUAAAAACCUUUAUGAGAACCUGUAUAGUAAACUCAUGAAGGAAAAAAGAGUAUAAUAUGAUGCAUUGAACAGGAAUAAUUCAGGAAGAUGCUCCCCCUGAUUCUUGCAAAAUUCGAAGCCGUCGCAUACCAAUUCCAUGAACACAUUUCUGGAACAUAAAAGUUGGUAGAGACCCGAUGAACAAAUCAGUCACAUGCAUGAUUUGACUUGCAAGAUAUGCAAUAUAGUGAUACUGCUUACUAUGUAACCUGUUUGCAUCCGGGCAACACAAGAAACAUUAUCGUUGAGAUAAUGGUUGGUGGAUGUAGCCAUGAGGUCUAUUUCGAAGACUCUUCAUGGGAAGGCUACCACACCUAGUAGGAACACUAAGAUUGUCUAUGAUCCGACAUAGUUGGGAUCUGAUCGAUGUAUCCAAUGAUAUCGGUGUUCACAUUUAUGUGAAACUCAAAAACCAGGACAAGAUGUUUGAUGCCUUGAAGAUAUCGAAAGAUAUUCUUGAGUACCAACCAAUUGUGUUUGGUGGAUCCAAUGGCAUUAUGGAACGUUCAGUCCCAAUAUCUCAUUUCCACCAUCUCUGGUCUAAUAGAUCUUUCUCUACGUCUAGAGAAUGAACUACCAUGAGGGUUAUGGAUGGAUAAGAUUUGUCCACAAUGAAUUUCUCCAAUAUAUUUUGGAUAUAGGCAACAUAGUAUACUAAAUGUAUGAAUGAAGGUGCUCAAGUUGUAGUAACGAGCAGUAUUUUGGUUUACCCAAAUCCUUCAUUUUAAACUCCGUCAUUUAGAUGAUUACAUGUGUCGUCAUUGUAGACACACAAGCAUGGGUAAUCAUCAUUGUAGGAGUAAUCCUUGUGUAUAAGGAACUCACUACGUCGAUUGUACCAUAUGUACCGACAACAAUAAGUGUAUGGUGACUUACUGAUUUUUACACAAUGUAUGUUGCAUUUUGCAUUUCGAUUCAGAAGUGAGAUCCAUCGGGAAUCAAUCAUAUAUGUCUGAAUCUAGUGAUUCACAUGGAUAUGUGCUCACUAUAUCUAUCAACUGCAGAGAUAGAUGAUUUUGUACUGCCAAUGAUAUAAAUUAUCAGAAAGAGAUUCCACCUCUGGAGAAUAGUUGGGUAUCUGCGGGAACCUUUGUGCUACAAUACUUGCUCUAUGUUUCACCACCUUGUUGUUCUCAAUUCUGUUUCCAGAAGAAAAACUGGUGUAGGUAUUGCUUAUGAAUACCUUCCGAUUAUUGAGCAAGAUUAUUUCUACCUAGAUUAUAACCUUUGCUUGAGUUCAGUCCGAGUGUUGCUCACACUAUGCCAUGGCCAUGGUCUUUGGAUCUGAAUCAUUUGAAAGGAUUUUGCAAUCUAGUUGAGAAAUAUGUGUCGACACUUGCAGACUUACGGUUAUAUGUUUCUCCAGAAUCUAUAUAUCAAUAUAUAGUUGAUGGAAAUAUCGUUACCCAUGGUGAAUGCUCGUGAUUUCCCAAUGCGAUUGAGUCGGGUAUUCCGAUGUCCCGGUCAUUGUGUGCACUAUGACCUGGGUUGGUGGAGGUUUCCCAUCCACUGGGUAUGCUACCCAUUAGGUGUUUGUCAACGGGAAGUUGACUUGCAUUUACUGAUUUAUAGGCCUUGAUAUCCUUGCUUCCAAGAAGCUGAAUCCUAAUGUACUUUUGCCAUACAACUCCCCCUGUUGCAUCGAACGGGGAGUGGAGUGGUUUUUGUUGGUACCUCCACUCUUUCAGGUGUACUUUUACAGGAUUGUAGGAUUGGGUGACACCUUUAUAGUCAGUAAAUGAAUCUGGCAGGUUGUUUGCAAUGUGCUGCAAAUCUUCUGAACGCAUGGUUCAGAUCUUUGAGUACGUGGAUUUGAGGCAAAAAUGUGUUGAACAUUCCACUAAUUUUCUGGCAUUCUUAAUGGUACUUGAAUUCUCCCCUAAUGCCUGGAAAUAUUCCUCAUUGAAUCAGCAUACUGGCCUUGAAUAACGCCCCAUGUGAGGGGCUUGAGGUAUUGACGGAAAUACAGUUAUUCCUCACAUAGAUCCCAACUAUAUGUUGAGGGGCCAAUGAUGUAUGUCGGGUGGUGAUAUCGGUAUGCAACCGAAUUACCGCAGAUGGGAAAUACUUGGUAGAUUUCCACAUAUCAAAGAUACAAGGGAAUAAUAUUAUGCAGUUCUGUCAUGAGCGUGUAAACUGCAUGACUCCAACGUAAAGUUGGUAAGUUACAAUUCCAAAGUAAAGACAAUGCAAUGAGCUUAAUUCUUUGGAUAAAGGAUUCUACCAAACCAUUUCGAGUCUAGCCAUUAGGAUAAAUUGCUAAACUUCAAUCCAAGGGCCAUAGAAAAGGCACUCAAGGUGAAUUUUGCAAUGUUAUCCAUUUGAUUUGCUUGAAAUCGAUGUCAGGAUAAUGAGCCAAUGGUUUCAUGUGGAUAAAUCACAGUUGAGACAAUUGUAUAGAUAUUGCUUUUAGAACCAUGGAAUACCUGAAUGGUCUAGUCAAUGGAUGGGAAGAGCCACUUACCUCGACUUGAUGCAUUCAAGUAGUCUGAGUGGUUCAGCAUAGACUUCAAGGUGCGCGAGCCUUAAAAUUAACUUCCCUAUGUGACAUGUAGUGCACACAAAAUCCAAAUACUGUUAGAAUUUAGCAUCAUAAUAAUCAUAAACUACUGGAAUUGUUGAUAGUUUCUGUUUCAACCAAAUGUCUCGAUGGCCAAGACGAGUAUGCCAAGUUUGUCAUGUACAAGACACUCUGAAAAACUAUCUCGUACGCAACAUGUGCUACGGGUUUGUAGUAUGUGUAGUACAAUCCAAAUGAUACAUAGAGAACGUGCUUGCCAUAUUCAUUGCAUAUGGUAAAGAACAUGUUAUAGAUCAAGCAAAUAGCAGCCACAUAAUUCUAGAAUUUUAAAAACUCUACAGAAAAUGGGCUAAAUGAUGAUCUGCAUGUGGCCUUAACGUUGCGAGUAGCAAAUAGUUAGACCAACCUGCAAUAUACCGAAAUAUCCAGGAAUUUACCAUAAAAUGAUAACAGACACAAAUUUUAGCCUAUUUUCAGAAAAUAGGUAAAUUCACAAGGGCUAAAUUGCAAAACUUGCAAAGAGAUAAGAUUUCUAUCUCUCCACUCCCAAGCGGUUUCUGCCAGGAGAAAUCCUGUAACCGCCCGCCGUUGUUUUCGCUCGCCGGCCAAGGCUGCGGCUGCGGGAGCGUCGUCGUCUCCGCUGUGGGAAACUACGUCGGAGGGUGACGCUGCCGUGCCGUCAGCUGGCAGCAAGAUGCCGUCACCCGCGCGCCUAGGCGGCCACGCCUCCGCGAGGAGUCCGGGCAGGGGCCACGGCCAUAGGCAUCACCGUCCUGGGAGGAGCAGCGCCGAGGCUGCGUUGGUGGCCAGUAGCGCUGCCCUCGCGGUGUGCACCUCUGUCUCGCGCCGAGGCCGAAGGCCAUGGCUGCGCCGUGGGGCGCCGCGAUCCAUGCGGGCCACACCGCGUGCUGAGCGCAAGCAAGAGCAGUGGCGGGCCAUGGGGUGGACCAUGCUGUACCCGAGGCCAAAGGUGCGCCCGAGAGAGCCGCGCUAGGUCGGGCAGAUGCGGCCACUGCCCCACGCGGGCGGCUACGGCUCGGUGUGGGCAGGCGCGAGCCAUGGCACGGGCGGACGCGGCCACGGUCCGGCGCGGGCAGGCGCGAGCGCUCACGACGCGGACGGGUACGACCACGGCCUGGUGCGGGGCGUCGCGCGGGUGACACGCACGGCGCGGGCGGCGGCGCCGACGGGAUCUUGCGUUGCUGCCUGUGCAGCGCCACCGGCGAGCGGCAACACCAGAAGCCUCGGAGUACGGUCAUGCGGGCAAGAUCUCGAGAACCGCUCCUCCUCCGCAAGAACGAGCGAUGCAAGAUUUUGAGGACAAAAGGUACUAACUCCUGAUUGCAAUUGUUAAAUUGGAAAUUAGACACCUUGUUUUCGUAGCAGAUUAGAAUCAUGACUUUGGUCUUUGCUUGAUCCUGAUGUUGUAGACGGACGCUCUUGUUGAGGACGGCUCCAACGUCACACCCAGCCACCGAUGCACAACUGCCGCUCGCUGGGUACCACGGACACCAGACCCGUUCGUGGGAGCGGCCUUACCGUGGCUAGCGACGGGGCCGACGGCAUCGCUGUAGAGGGCUGGCGGCGCUCGAGGGCGCCGCCGGUCUAUGCGGAUGCAAGACAAAGGACGCGACUUUUCUUCAAGACAUGGUCGCUUUGGUCUCUCCGCGUCUCCUUGUUGUGAGGCCAAUCGGAUCGCUCAUCCGGGAUCAUGCUGAUAACGUGUUGAAUGAAAUCAAGAAACAAACAAGAGAGACAACAAAUGAUUCAACUGUCUCCUUUUCAUUGAUGAUGAUGUCUUAUAUAGUAUUACAAAGGGUGCCUCCAAGGGGUGUGUGUACAAAGGGACAUGAGCAACCGACAUGCCAAAAGUAACUGCCUUGGUAAUUAAAAAAAGCAAGGAUUAACAUAAUUAAUUAAUCAUAGCAAAGAUAACACUCACGGCAACACAUUCUGUUUUCUUGCAGAUGGAAACACAACCACUCUUCACCGUGGAUAUCCCUCAAUUUUUACGUGCAUACAUUCUCAUCAUUCUUGAGUUUAAAAGAAUUACCACAGUUGUGAUCCUUCAACUGGUCCUGUAAACAUCUCCAAAUACCCGACUUCUGUGACAAAAUAAAAAUAAAAUCAAGCACCCCCGCUCAUUAGUAAAGAUCCUAGCAAGUGCAACAAAAUGCCAGUAAUCUUUAUUUUUGCAAGGUGCGGCGAGGGCAAGAGGUAUUGUGACACGUAUGCUGAUUCAGCAGAAAUAUAUAAUCAUGCAAGUGGACAAUCAAAAUAGUUUAAAGUCAACUGGUUACAUCUAAGGAUGCAACUGGACAAUCAAAAAUAUUUUGAAUCGACUGUUUUUUGUAAUCUAGAGUUUCCACCAGUACAGUUUGCAGUAGUUUCUCUCGUGCUCCCUCCUUCCCAAAAUAUAAGGCGUCAGUUGACUUUCUUGGUCUUAGUUGCAGAACUUUGA
rnacentral:lncRNA from 1 species